GAGGAGCGGCUGGGACAGAGCGGCAAAUGACCCAGCUUUGUGAGCUGAUCAAUAAAAGCGGAGAACUGCUAGCAAAAAACCUUUCCCAUCUGGAUACAGUGCUUGGUGCCCUGGAUGUGCAGGAACACUCAUUAGGAGUUCUUGCUGUCUUGUUUGUGAAGUUUUCUAUGCCCAGCAUCCCCGACUUCGAAACAUUAUUCUCACAGGUGCAGCUCUUCAUCAGUACUUGUAAUGGGGAACACAUUAGAUAUGCAACAGACACUUGUAAGUUAAUUCAGCACUUUAUAG